rnacentral:lncRNA from 1 species
CUCACUGGGUCUUUUAAAACCCCUAGUGAGUUAAAUUUAGCAGCUUAACAUCUGUCUUCGUAUUAUGUAUAUCUGUGAGUUAUCAGAGUAUAAUGUGAAAAUUUAGCAACCAGCAUUGGAUUAGGUGACCGUUUCAAGUCUUCUAGUGGGUCAUAAUUUUACUCUCUUUCACACACAACGGGAGAGAGGAAAUUUUGAGCAUUUGCGUGGAAAUGCCUAGAAGUGAGAUGGUGUUUAAGAUGGCAAAGAACAACAAUUAUGAAAGAGAGACGGACACAGUCGGAGAGUUGGGGGAUCCGAGAAAGUAAUAGAUUGGGGGUGGGCAAGCUAUUCGUCUAGUCGACUCAAAAUGUCAAAUCGAUCUGACUCAAGCUGGUUUGGAGGAAGAAUAUUGCCUUGAAUACGGGGCAUUAUUUCUACGAGGGCAAGGCCCCAGGGAGGUCGG